UGGGGAAUAUUGCACAAUGGGGGAAACCCUGAUGCACCGACGCCGCUUGAACGAAGAAGGUAUUCGUAUCGUAAAGUUCUGUCCUAUGGGAAGAUAAUGACAGUACCAUAGAAGAACGCUCCGGCUAAAUACGUGCCAGCAGCCGCGGUAAUACGUAUGGAGCGAGCGUUGUCCGGAAUUAUUGGGCGUAAAGGGUACGCAGGCGGUUUAAUAAGUCGAAUGUUAAAGAUCGGGGCUCAACCCCGCAAAGCAUUGGAAACUGAUAAACUUGAGUAGUGGAGAGGAAAGUGGAAUUCCUAGUGUAGUGGUGAAAUACGUAGAUAUUAGGAGGAAUACCAGUAGCGAAGGCGACUUUCUGGACACAAACUGACGCUGAGGUACGAAAGCGUGGGGAGCAAACAGG
rnacentral:rRNA from 1 species